UGCUGGCAUGUAUCUUCCCUCAGGAG
rnacentral:piRNA from 1 species